CUUUGCUGUAGUUGGCCUUUUGCCUUGCUGCUCCUUUGGCUGCCUGGGGAGCGUGGCCCCCUGUAACGGAGGGCGAGAGCCACCUCUCCGCACCUGAGUGGGAAAUGGAGCUCGCCGGACCCCGAGGCCACCCUGUAAGCAGGGUAGUGCCGUUUCCCUGCCCCUCUUGGUCCUCCGGCCCCUCGGCAUCGUUGCCUGAUGGUGGCCUGUCAACGCGACGGCCCCGUACUCGGGGUGCGCGCCACAGCAUUUGGCAUUUGGCCUUUGGCUUUACCCGAGAAGCCCCAUGGCACGUUGAGGUCUGUGGCCUCCGUGCAGCCUAGGGACAGGUCACAGGCUCUUGUCUGUUGCCCGUGGUUGUGGGUUAAUUCCCAGGUGUUGGCUGUGCUGCGUUGUCCUUCCCUUCUGGAAAGUCGUGCCUGUGUGUGCGUGUUCCCCUUCCUUUCCUUGUUUGUGUUUGUGGAGUGGUUGAGCGGGUGUGCUUUCCCUUUAGGCCUCCACAAAGAUGGCUGCAGCUUAGCUUUGACUUCCCGGGGGGGAAUGGAGGACUUUGGUGCAUGCCGCAAAAGGGGUGUUCCCUCUUAGUCCUGCGAGCGCAGCGAGUGUCCUGUCUUCCUACUAUUUUCCUUAGUGCAGAUCAGAGCCACACGGUAGUUCUGUGGCCAAGGCCUCCCUGUAGCCAGGGCUUGGGCCUGUCCUUGCGUGGCCGCCUGUCCUGCUGGCGGCGGUGACAGCCCCGUACUCGGGGUGUGUGUCCCAAGCUUCGGAGCCCUCUGUCCCUGAGCAGCCCGCCCGCCCUGUAAUCAGGUGUGGGGAGGCUGCAGCGUUGCAGCCGGCUGCUUUAGCCAUCCAGCUGGUGGGAGUGACCCCUCCCUGUCCCGUCAGAGGGUGCAGGUUGAGGUGCUGUUUGUGUGUGGGGUGACCUCCCCGCUCGGUGGGUCGAGGUAGCUCCCUGGGCUUCCAAAGACGAGACGUUGGUGAUGUUCUGCUGCUGCCGGGCGGGCCAGCCUGUAACUCAGGCGUUGGCGGGAGCCUCGUGCUCCGCGGGGCUUCUUGAAGAGGGUGAGGUGUGGGGGUACCGUCCUGUAGGCAGGGCUGUGUGUGCCCCCCGUGUGUGCUUGGUGAGCUGUGUUCUGAGAGACCCCCUGUACUCAGGUGGGAAUGUGGCCCCGGCCUUUCAGAGGCGCGGGGCCGUGAGAUGCGGGGUGGGGCUUGCGCCCUCCCUGGAAUCGGGGCUGGGAUCCCGACUGCGGCCUUUGGCCGUGCCGCCCCGCUGCCUGGCUGCUGAGAGUUGCUCCUGCCGCUGGGGGGGAAACCGAGCUCUGUGGCUCCAGGGGUGUUGUCCACCCGCCUGUAAUCAGGGUCUGGGUGCGCGAGCGUUUGUGCUCUGCUGGCAGCCUGUGUGGGGUGACCGCCCCGCUAGCGGGGUGUGGGUCGAGGUGCCCCGGACUGGGAGAGAAGGAGCCUCCCUCGGCCGUAGGGAUGGGGGCUGCCCUGUAAGUCAGGGAGCAUCUGUGUCCCGGAGUCCCAGGCCCUUUUCGAUGGCGGCAGUGGCCGGGGGUCCCCUGUAAGCAGGGAAGCUGACUCUUUGGCUGCUGCUUUUUGUGUGCCCAGCCCCAUUUGCCCAGUCUGCCCGCCUCUGUGAUCCCCCGCAGCACUGGCUGGAAGUCCGCCGCGUGUCAGUGAGGAGCUGCUGCAGAAGGAAGAAGAAGAAGCGGCGUGGGGACCUGGGAGGCAGGAGCAAGCAAGAAGAGGAAGCGGAAGCGUGCAGAUGCGGGGGGGAAGGAGAGAGGCUCCCUGGGCAAAGCACCUGUCCCGUUAGCAGGGGCACAGUCACG
ensembl:lncRNA